rnacentral:rRNA from 1 species
GUAUCAAUAAGCGGAGGAAAAGAAACCAACAGGGAUUGCCUCAGUAACGGCGAGUGAAGCGGCAACAGCUCAAAUUUGAAAUCUGGCGCAAGCCCGAAUUGUAAUUUGCAGAGGAUGCUUUGGGCGCGGUGCCUUCCGAGUUCCCUGGAGCGGGACGCCACAGAGGGUGAGAGCCCCGUCUGGUCGGAUGCCAAGCCUGUGUAAAGCUCCUUCGACGAGUCGAGUAGUUUGGGAAUGCUGCUCUAAAUGGGAGGUAUAUGUCUUCUAAAGCUAAAUACCGGCCAGAGACCGAUAGCGCACAAGUA